AUUGAACGCUGGCGGCAGGCCUAACACAUGCAAGUCGAACGGUAACAGGAAACAGCUUGCUGUUUCGCUGACGAGUGGCGGACGGGUGAGUAAUGUCUGGGAAACUGCCUGAUGGAGGGGGAUAACUACUGGAAACGGUAGCUAAUACCGCAUAACGUCGCAAGACCAAAGAGGGGGACCUUCGGGCCUCUUGCCAUCGGAUGUGCCCAGAUGGGAUUAGCUAGUAGGUGGGGUAACGGCUCACCUAGGCGACGAUCCCUAGCUGGUCUGAGAGGAUGACCAGCCACACUGGAACUGAGGCACGGUCCAGACUCCUACGGGAGGCAGCAGUGGGGAAUAUUGCACAAAGGGCGCAAGCCUGAUGCAGCCAUGCCGCGUGUAUGAAGAAGGCCUUCGGGUUGUAAAGUACUUUCAGCGGGGAGGAAGGGAGUAAAGUUAAUACCUUUACUCAUUGACGUUACCCGCAGAAGAAGCACCGGCUAACUCCGUG
rnacentral:rRNA from 1 species